rnacentral:rRNA from 1 species
CCUACGGGAGGCUGCAGUGGGGGAUAUUGCACAAUGGGGGAAACCCUGAUGCAGCGACGCCGCGUGUGGGAAGACGGUCCUCUGGAUUGUAAACCACUGUCCCCAGGGACGAAGAUGACGGUACCUGGGGAGGAAGCGCCGGCUAACUACGUGCCAGCAGCCGCGGUAAUACGUAGGGAGCGAGCGUUGUCCGGAAUUACGGGGGGGAAAGGGAGCGUAGGCGGGGAUGCAAGUUGGGUGUCAAAACUACCGGCUCAACUGGUAGUCGCACUCAAAACUGCAGCUCUUGAGUGAAGUAGAGGCAGGCGGCAUUCCUAGUGUAGCGGUGAAAUUCGUAGAUAUUAGGCGGAACCCCAGUGGCGAAGGCGGCCUGCUGGGCUUUUACUGACGCUGAGGCUCGACAGUGUGGGGAGCACACCGGAUUAGAUACCCUGGUAGUC